rnacentral:snRNA from 1 species
GUGCUGGUUUUGACAGCACAUUUACUUAAAUUGGGAAGAUGAGAUCUGCAUGGCCACUGUACAAGAUGGCCUGCAAGUUUCUGAUAUAUCCCACAUUUUU